rnacentral:rRNA from 1 species
GACAGAGGAGCCAAGCGUUGUCCGGAUUGACUGGGCGUAAAGCGCACGCAGGCGGCCGUGCACGUGGGGUGUGAAAGCGCUCGGCUUAACUGAGCGAUGCCACCUCAUACGGCAGGGCUCGAGCCCGUGAGAGGUCCACGGAAUUGCCGGUGUAGUGGUGAAAUGCGUAGAGAUCGGCAGGAACACCCAGGGGAAACCAGUGGACUGGCACGGUGCUGACGCUCAGGUGCGAAAGCGUGGGAGCGAACCGG